rnacentral:tRNA from 1 species
AGGAUUAUAGUUUAAAUAAAAACAUUUGAUUUGCAUUCAAAAUAUAUUAAUAUAAUUAAUUUAUCUUA